rnacentral:rRNA from 1 species
UACGAAGGGGGCUAGCGUUGCUCGGAAUCACUGGGCGUAAAGGGUGCGUAGGCGGGUCUUAAGUCAGGGGUGAAAUCCUGGAGCUCAACUCCAGAACUGCCUUUGAUACUGAAGAUCUUGAGUUCGGGAGAGGUGAGUGGAACUGCGAGUGUAGAGGUGAAAUUUCGUAGAUAUUCGCAAGAACACCAGUGGCGAAGGCGGCUCACUGGCCCGGUACUGACGCUGAGGUGCGAAAGCGUGGGGAGCAACAGG